AUGGCUCCCUGCGGCCCACAGCCAAACACUAUCAGCUCCCUCCGGUUCAGCGGCUCAGUCUGGGGCCCUAGACAACGCCCAAAGUUCUCCAGACUCCUGCUCAAGCUCUCCCCAAGGCAGUUCAACUGAGUGCCAAGUCCAAAAACACCAAAACAGUUCACAGGUAAGGCUUUUCUGGUUUGCAGUCUCGCUGCUACUGUACUUACAGCUGUCGCUGGGAUUAGGCCGAUUGAACACAUGCAACCACUUGUCAGUUUUCCACUAUUUUUGUCCUUGUCUUGGGGUCCAGAAGUCUCUUGUUGACUCCCUGUAUCCUCAAAGGGAUAAUUAUAGGCAGAUCCCACCAGCCAGAGAUACCUGGGGUCUUAUCUCCCCAGACUCACGGUGCCCAGAUGCAAGGAAGCUAUUACUCGGCCACCGUCUUGCUGAGACCCCCCCAAAUUCGAUUUCUUUAAUGAUUAUGGGACUUAGGCAAUCUUUCUCCUCUUGAUUGAGUUCUCAUAGUUUGUGUUUUUUGAGGAAUUUGUCCAAUUAUUAUAGUUGGUGGAUUUAUGAGUGUAAAGUUGUUCAUAAUAUUCCCUUAUUAUCAUUUUAAUGGCUUCACAGCCCAUAUGAAUAUCCCCUGUUUCAUUCAAGAUCUUGGUGAUUUGGAAGAGGGCCUCUUGUUCUCCGGGGCCUGCAGUAUGCCUCAUAACUGAGGUGCUCCACUAUGGCCACCCGACUUGUUUUCCUAAGCACCACUUUACCACUGGCCUGACAGGAUGCACUAGUAGCAUGGCACCGAUUCCUCUCCAGUUUUGGGGCACUGCUCUGAGCAGCAUCACCCUAUAUAUCAGAAAGCUGGUGGGCAUUAUGGGGAAGAAACAAAACAAGAAGAAAGUAGAGGAGGUGCUAAAAGAGGAAGAAGAGGAAUAUGUGGUGGAAAAAGUUCUUGACCGUUGAGUGGUAAAGGGCAAAGUGGAGUACCUCCUAAAGCGGAAGGGUUUCUCAGAUGAGAACAAUACAUUGGAGCCAGAAGAGAACCUGGAUUGCCCUGAUCUCAUUGCUGAAUUUUUACAGUCACAGACAGAUAAAUCAGAGGGAGGCAAGUGCAAAGCUGAUUCUGAUUCUGAAGAUAAGGGAGAAGAAAGCAAACCAAAGAAGAAAGAAGAGUCAGAAAAGCCACGAGGCUUUGCCCGGGGUUUGGAGCCAGAGCGGAUUAUUGGAGCCGCAGACUCCAGUGGAGAGCUCAUGUUCCUGAUGAAAUGGAAAAACUCUGAUGAGGCUGACCUGGUCCCUGCCAAGGAAGCCAAUGUCAAGUGCCCAUAGGUUGUCAUAUCCUUCUAUGAGGAAAGGCUGAUGUGGCAUUCCUACCCCUCAGAGGAUGAUGACAAAAAAGAUGACAAGAAUUAACUUUCCUGAAGUACCAGCACCUGUCACAUCUGACUGUGGGUUUCAAAUGGGGAGGGAAGGAAUUUUGCUUUUACUUGACUUCUCAAGAGGUGGCUUGAGAAGAUGUCCUUUGAAGAGCCAGUAUAGUUUCUGUGCCCUGCAGCAGCCCAAAGUGCUUUAAAGCCAUUCAAGCUGUAUAGUUUGCACACCCCUCCCAGUGGAGGGGAAGGGGAAUAAGUGUUUCGAGGCAACCCAUUCUACACUUUGCUGAGAAAAGCAAAAGGCCUUCUAUGAAGGACAAAAUUUGCAGAAUUGGGUGUGUGGGAAAGCAAAAACUGUAGAACUUCAAAGAGCAUCUCCACAACCCACAGCCUUCUUCCCAAUAGUGUUAAUUCUGCAUUUUUACAGCAUAGCAUGUGUGUAGUUUUUGGCUAUUACUGGUGUAUUAUUUGGGGUGGGAGGGAUAGGGUGGGAAAGAAGGGAGAUGAGUAGAUCAUUUUGGUUAAAAUUUGGGGCCUUAUUGGGGAAAUGGUGAAAUAAUGGAAAAAACAGACAACUAAUAAUUUUCUUCUAUGUCCAUAAUAUUUUACUUUUUUUAAAAAAAUGUCAUUGGCACCAUAAAUAAGGACUGUGAGAGACUGUUUAAAAGCUGUGAAUGCCUGAAACCUAUAAGCCAAGGUGUUCCUUGCCUGAGCUUAUUGCUAUUCCCCACAAAGAACUAAGCCAGCUUGUAAGUUACCAAAGCUGCCAUUUUGGAGAUAGAAACUGAUUGAGGGGAGAUAAGUCUUUUAUUGGAGAAUAUACAUGAGAUCAUUCUGUCUUAGAGGUGCUAAUUCCUGAAAUUAAACAAGAUGACCCUUUUCCAGUUACGAAGUUAUAAAUACCAACUUGUUCAUCCAAGCUACUGGCUGAAGUAUUGGGGGAAAAGGUUGGUAUAGGAGAUGAGAGAGUAGGGAAGACAAGGGUUCAUGCUCUUAGUUUUUUUGAACUUUGAACUCUAAAACCCAUUGGUAGUAGGGUACAGUCACUGACAGCACAAGUUUCAUUGAAACAGUUCAAGAGUUGAAUGAUUUCAAAAGCCCUGGGCUCAGGAGAUUAAACUUUCAUACUGGGGCAGUGGUUCACUGUAAAACACAACAAACAAAAACAUUUUUUAAAAAAUCCUAAGAAUUUAAUCAUACCCAAAUGCUCUGUCUUGAAUCACUUCUUGACAU